rnacentral:rRNA from 1 species
GAUGAACGCUGGCUACAGGCUUAACACAUGCAAGUCGAGGGGAAACGCCGGGGAAGCUUGCUUCCCCGGACGUCGACCGGCGCACGGGGGAGUAACGCGUAUCCAACCUGCCUCUGACUGAGGGAUAACCCGUCGAAAGUCGGCCUAAUACCUCAUGGCAUCGUCUGGGGGCAUCCAACGACGAUUAAAGAUUUCAUCGGUCAGGGAUGGGGAUGCGUCUGAUUAGCUUGUGGGCGGGGUAACGGCCCACCAAGGGUUCGCUCAGGAGGGGUUCUGAGAGGAAGCUCCCCCACAUUGGAAGUGAGACACGGCCCAAACUCCUACGGGAGGCAGCAGUGAGGAAGAGUGGUCAAGGGGCGGGAGCCUUAACCAGACAAGUAGUGUGCAGGAGGACGGCCCUAGGUGUGGUAAACUGCUUUUAGGCGGGGAGAAAGUGAGGGACGUGUCCUUGAUUGCAGGUACCGCAUGAAGAAGAACCGGCUAAUUCCGUG